GCCCACCGAGUGUGCAGCGGAAGGCGACGCGCGACGGGCGAGGACGGAGAACGGCCUCGGGUGUGCGUCCGGCCGUCGGAAAAUCUCGAAGGGGCGGGAGGAGUCCGGCAGGUGAUUUUGGGGGGCACAAAAACCUUCUUUGAAGAACUUUGUACAGUGUUGAAGGAUGGCAGAAGCAGUGUUGAUAGAUCUCUUUGGUUUGAAAUUAAACUCUCAGAAAAACUGUCAUCAGACAUUACUAAUGACAUUGAAUGCUGUCCGAAACCACCAUGGUGCCAAGGCCAAGUUCCUUUGCAUAAUGUGUUGCAGUAACAUCAGCUGUGACCAUGAUGAUUGUGAAUUAGAAACAAGCAAUGGAUUAUCUGCUUUCCUGAGAGAAUUUGAGACUGUUAGCAAUUCCAGCAUGGCUGCCUCAUUGUAUACCAUUAAACAAAAAAUUGAUGAAAAAAAUUUGAGCAGCAUUAAGGUAAUUGUGCCUGUGCACCGGAAGACAUUAAUGAAGGCUUUUAUUGGUCAACUCUUCACUGAUGUUUACAAUUUUGAGUUUGAAGAUUUACAGAUGACUUUGAGAGGAGGUCUUUUGAAACAGCCUACUGAAAUAAACAUAAUCACAGCUCAAGAACUAGAGGCAAUCCGGAAUGAAAUAGAAACAUAUUUGAGAAGUUUGCCAACACUGAAAGGAGAAUUAACCAUUAUCACAUCUCCUUUGAUCCCAGAUAUUUUCAUACAUGGAUUUACUACAAGAACAGGUGGGAUAUCUUACAUACCAACUCUUAGCUCAUUCAAUCUCUUCAGUAGUUCCAAACGGAGAGAUCCCAAGGCUGUUGUUCAAGAAAAUCUGCGUAGGCUGGGGAAUGCAGCAGGAUUUAACGUGAAGAAAUUUUACCGGAUAAAGACUGAUCAUGCCAAUGAUGUCUGGAUUAUGGGAAGGAAGGAGCCUGAAUCUUACGAUGGAAUCACCACAAAUCAAAGAGGAGUCACAAUAGCGGCUCUUGGUGCUGACUGUAUACCGAUAGUUUUUGCCGAUCCUGUCAGAAAAGCAUGUGGGGUUGCUCACUCUGGUUGGAGAGGUACUUUGUUAGGUGUUGCUAUGGCUACAGUGAAUGCUAUGAUAGCAGAAUACGGCUGUAGUUUGGAAGACAUUAUUGUCGUACUGGGGCCUUCAGUAGGACCUUGCUGUUUUACUCUUCCAAGGGAAUCAGCAAAGGCAUUUCAUAAUCUUGAUCCCGGAUGUGUACGGCUCUUUGGCUCACCAAAUCCCUAUGUUGACAUCCGUAAAGCCACGAGGAUUCUUCUAGAACAGGGAGGAAUUCUACCACAGAAUAUUCAGGACCAGAACCAAGAUCUGAAACUCUGUACCUCCUGUCAUCCUGACAAGUUUUUCUCCCAUGUCCGAGAUGGCCUUAACUUUGGUACACAGAUUGGCUUCAUAUCAAUUAGAGAAUGAGAUGAAGGGAGACUCAAAAUUAUUAUGCCAAAGAUGUAAUUCAUCUCUGAUUUCACGUCAAAGCUUUUAGCACCCUGGGGAGUUAAGACUGGAAUCUCGAAUCUCUGCCUUGACAGCCCUCUUUCUGCCAUAUGACGAACUUGAAUUAUGGAUAUUGGGGAAGAAGACUGCAGAGGUGAAGUCAUGUCAAGGAGAUUCUACAUACACCAACACUGAGACCCAGAGGUCUGGUGACUUUCUUAGGUCACCCCACAGUUAAUAAUACGGAACUGGAUGCCUACUCACUUGACCUUCGACCUUCAGAGCAAGAAGUACAGUAGAGGCUCCAGGGAUAAGUGGCGAGGUCACAUUUCUUCUGAGAUAAUUCCUUUGGCUUCUCCUUUAAGUCAAGUCAAGCUCUGACUCCUGAUGCUCUGAGCUUGUGGUAGCCCUAAAAGGGUUGCCAAUUCACUCUUACAACUUUGCCCCAGGCUGAGGAAAGAACUGACUCCAAAAUGUGUUCUGACAAUGACAUCGUCACAAAGGUGUUGAUCAAGAGAACCUCUAAUAAACUUCCUACAUGCAAACCACUCCUCAGUCUCUGGUUCCUGGGGAACCUAACUUGCAGCAGUGUUAGGAAAAAAAUGAAACAGGGAAAUGGAAUAAAUAUCAGAUAUCAGGAGGGGCUGCCUAGUUAAGAUGGUCAGGUAGGACUCCUCCAAGAAGUUGAUAUUUGAGCCGAUGUGUGAAUGAGAAGGGGCACAGAAAGAUCUGGGGGGGCGGGUAGCCUCCCAGACAGAGGAAAGUAUGAAGACCCUGAGGGGAGAAUGAGUUGGACGUGUUCCAGAAAAAAAGGAAGGCCAGUGUUACGUGUGAUAAAUGAAAAACAGGCCGGUAGAAAAAGCUGCUGGAUCAUGGAGUUUGAACUUUAUUCUAAAUACAAGAUGCACAGCUCUUCCUGAUAUUGAGAACUGAGAGAAACAUCUCCUGUGAUUUCCCAAGGAGAACAAUAAUUUCUGUGAUAAAUAAAAUGGCAAGUGUAGAAUGACUUCCUCUUCUUACCUCCCUGGAUGCAGGUCAAACAGGCCCAAUGCCAAAGCAUAGCUAGUGUACAAGGGACCAAAGCAAUGAAAUCAAAAGCAAUAUUUUUCUUCCUUAGCUCUUUUAGAUUCAAGAGGAAGGAGUGGAUUCCUAUAGCCUUAUGGUAAUCUUCCAUGAAUGACAUUUCUUAAAACUAAGCUUUUUAUUUAAAAAAAAGUUCCACAGAGAACUUCACAGUAUAUUGUCUAUUUACCUAACCUCCAGGUUACUGACAAAGGGAAGUGCCCUACAUAUAUUUUAAGAAUAAACUGAGAGAAAGGCAGGUUUGACAUCUCCUUAUGACAUUUUAUGAAUAAUAUGGGGUCUAACCAGGGGCCAGCCCCAGCUUCACACAGGGGUUGGGUAGAGGAUGUACCCUUAGGCAGGGCCAAGAUCUUCCCCAGAAAGUAGUUAAUUGUUUAACUUGAACACACAGACAACUCAGGCCUAGAAGCAUUAUGGGUUAAUACAUGUUCACAAAAUUUUCACUGGAAAAUAUUGCCAUUAAGUGACAUGCAUCACCUAAAGUGUCCAUUAAAAAAAAAAACCCACCUCAAAGACAUAGUUUAAUUUAAAGAACUAAUGUAAAAUACUAUUUAAUACAAACUAAUUAAAAUUUAGAAUCUCUGAGCUCAGAAUGAUAGGAUUCUGGAAUGGUCGAUGUUCAUUUGUUCUUUCUGUAUAGAAAGCUGUUCAGGAACAGCUGUCCAGUUUAUGACACCAAACUAUGUCAUCAAUUUCCAGCUAUGAUGGAAUACCUGUGUUCCUGCUGGAAAACAAAGAGCCAUUAAAAAAAAAAGUCUUGUUGCAGCCCUGCCAAAGCAGUCAGGACCUAAGGACCGAAGAAAAGGGAACAGCAGAGAGGCGUUUUCUGAUUCUUGAUCUAGAGCAAGACAUGAGACUCUGGGCAGAGAACUGCUACAAGGCAGAUGAUUAACCAGCUAAAAACAUUAACUCUUAUAAAGAGAUAAUUAAGUGAAGAAAAAGUAAAACAGAGGCAUAUAAAAGUCACUAAUUAUAUAUAUGAUAUAAUUAUAUAUCAAUGUCCAGCCACUGGACCAACAUGUAUGCCCAACUAGGGGGCAGGGAAAUCAAUCUCCCCUUCCCACAAGUGACCCCCAAGGGACCGUGACCUCUGCACCCCAAUGUACACAGUACCUGGAUCAGGGGUGGGUGAGAGGCUCACCCCCCCACCCAGAGUCACCUGCCUAACACACUGUGGUACAGCCAGCCCAGGAUGCCACCUUGGAGUGCACAUCCUGUCCCAAGAUGGUGUGGAGCACAUCAGUUCUACUUUACUUCUUCUGGUGGGAAGGGGCAGGAAGGGGAGGCUGGGCAUGUCCUGAGGCAGCAGGGAAUGAGAGGGUGGGUGGUUGAGAGCCUGUGUGAGGGAGGGCAGUUGAGAUGGGCCCUCCUGUGGGCCAAGUCUCCAAGCCAUUAGUACAUGCUCCACUGGCUCACUUAUUUUAAAAACAUAAGUCAAAGAUAAAAUUAAGAAUUUCAAGACAACACCAUUAACCCCAAGCACAAGACCCUUGUGAGCAUGAGGCUCUGUAACUGCAUUGGUGGCAUCCUUGGGACGCAGGCCUUGGUUGGAAGUGUUUUCUUCAAGGUUAUGGAGCCUGGUCAUCAUGUUACUUGAGUCCUCUUCCUGUGCUAAGUUCUUUCCUGCUUCAGCCUUUGGUUUUCGAUGUUUUGUGCGUCGUUUUAAAACACAUCGUUCUUUUUCUUGCUAGUAAUUAGUUUUACCAAUUCCCCAUGUCUGAAACCUUCUGAUAGAAAAAUAAUAGAAUAGAAAAAUAGAAAAAGUUGAAUGAAUGUACUGCUAAUUUUCAGGGAUAGUGCGUCAAUAUUCUUAAUUUAAAUAAAAAAAUACGUCUUAAUUGAUUUUAACAGGGUUGGGUUAAAUUUUGUCUCUGUGAUUCCCCAUUCUUUAUUUUGAUCAUCAAAGUCACGAUUUAAUUCUCCGAGGGACCUCUUCUAAUGUACUAGUUUUCAUGGUUUAAGUGGAAAAUUAGAAUAUCACACUGGUUUGCAAAUCUGGGUCUGAUGAAUGAGAAUAUUGUAAAUUGAAGCUCUACUUGGAAAAA